GCAGCUUUCGUCUACGGCGGACGCGCGCUGCGAUCUCGCAGGCGAGGAGUCGGUUCGAUCCCGGCGAGCUGCACCA
rnacentral:tRNA from 1 species